rnacentral:rRNA from 1 species
CCUACGGGAGACUGCAGUGAGGAAUAUUGGUCAAUGGACGAGAGUCUGAACCAGCCAAGUAGCGUGAAGGAUGACUGCCCUAUGGGUUGUAAACUUCUUUUAUAAAGGAAUAAAACGAGGCACGUGUGCCUUUUUGCAUGUACUUUAUGAAUAAGGAUCGGCUAACUCCGUGCCAGCAGCCGCGGUAAUACGGAGGAUCCGAGCGUUAUCCGGAUUUAUUGGGUUUAAAGGGAGCGUAGAUGGGUUGUUAAGUCAGUUGUGAAAGUUUGCGGCUCAACCGUAAAAUUGCAAUUGAUACUGGCAGUCUUGAGUACAGUUGAGGUAGGCGGAAUUCGUGGUGUAGCGGUGAAAUGCUUAGAUAUCACGAAGAACCCCGAUUGCGAAGGCAGCUUACUAAACUGUGACUGACAUUGAGGCACGAAAGCGUGGGGAGCAAACAGGAUUAGAUACCCCUGUAGUC